GGGAGUUUGUUUUAUAAAUAAGUAAAUGUGGGAAUUGUGGUUUGGAAUGAAAAUAAAGAUGGGGUUUGGAAUAUAUGAAGUAGAAGAUAAGGAAUAUGGGGUUUUGGGGUUUGGGGUUUCGGAUUUUAGGGAUUUAAACGUACUGCUCGUUAAUUCCUCGUAACCUGACGUCGAAUGUACGACGUAAUCCUCGUUUAUUCCACGUAGGACAGAAUCGUCGUAAAGACCUCGUAAAGUAAAUUGACGUAAAUGCCACGUAAAGUAAAUGACGAAGGUGGCACUCGUUUAUUCCACGUAGGACAGAAUCGUCGUAAACACCUCGUAAGGCCACGAGGACUUUACGACGAAAUUAAAAAAGCGAGGCACUCUAAUUCCACGUAAGCCAAAAUCGUCGUAAAAGAGUCGUAAAAUAACGACGAUAUUACGACGAAAAUAUUAAAAAUACUAAAAAAAAGAAGAGAAGAAAGAUGCUUGAAUCACAUUUGGCGAGACUUACGUAAGUCUCGACCACAUGAGUUCCAAAUAUCUUCUUCUCUUCUUUUUUUUUCCAAAUUUUCUAAAUUGGUGAAAAGCGGGACUUGC
rnacentral:lncRNA from 1 species